CAAGCACAGCCACAGAUGUCUCGACAAAUACAACAGCUACACCUGUUGCAACAUCAACAACAAAAGGAAUCACAACCACUACUUCCAUCUCAGUCGCUGUUCCUGUUACCACAGUACCUGGUUCUGGCAUCACAAUACCAACUGGAGAACCCGUCACUGUUCCUGUUACUGGUUCUACAACUACAACCACAUCUGUGGCCCCCUCAACUACUGUUUCAAGCAUAGCACCAACAUUGGCUAUGACAACUACCAGCACAACUCCAACAACUACUUCUACUACUACGACAACAACUACCACAACGACUGCACAUCUUGCAGUGGUUACAUUACAAGUCACCAUACAAGAGGUUUUUGUACCAGCUUUGAGUAAUCCUCAAAGCACAGAAUUUCAAACACUUGCGGUAUCCUUUACUUCAGUGUGUGACGUGAUCUAUCGAGCAAAAUAUGGGAUAUUUUUCAUCCGGACGAUUGUCAUUUCAUUCAUACCAGUGUUCCGUUCUCGUAUGGCAGCAGACACACAGGUGGUGCUGGAAGUGGUGUUCAAUGAGACCGCCAUUGCAACUAUCACUAAUGCAACUAUGCCCAAGGACAUUGACGUUAAAGAUACACUGAAAGAGGCUGUGACCAAUCCAAACUCUACCUUCAACCUCUCUGUGGUUCCAAACUCCAUCACUAUUAUCAAUGCCCCUGCUACAACAACUGUUCCUGCUACAACUGCCAUAACAACAGCGCCUCCUCCAGUGGUGGAAUUACAAGUCACCUUGCAGCAAGUUUUUGUACCAGCCUUGACUGACCCUCAAAGCACAGAAUUCAAAACACUAUCAGUAACCAUUACU